rnacentral:rRNA from 1 species
GACGUAGGGCGCGAGCGUUGUCCGGAUUUAUUGGGCGUAAAGAGCUCGUAGGCGGCUCAUUGCGUCAACCGUGAAAACUUGUGGCUCAACUACAAGCUUGCGGUUGAUACGGGUGGGCUGGAGUUCGGUAGGGGAGAAUGGAAUUCCUGGUGUAGCGGUGAAAUGCGCAGAUAUCAGGAAGAACACCCGUGGCUAAGGCGGUUCUCUAGUACGGUACUGACGCUGAGACGCGAAAGCGUGGGGAGCGAACAGG